GCGCACCAGGCGAGAAACCUUCGCAAUGCGGGAAACCGCGACGAGGGGACUCCCAGUGCCUACGCUCAGCGUAGGCUGUUCCCGAGCCUAGAAAGCUCGGGGAGUAAGGGCUGGGUAAGACGGGUGCCAGCCGCCGCGGUAAUACCCGCAGCCCGAGUGGUGGCCACUAUUAUUGGGCCUAAAGCGUCCGUAGCCGGCCCGGUAAAUGCCUGGGUAAAUCGUGAGGCCUAACCUCACGAAUUCCGGGUAGACUGCCGGGCUAGGGACCGGAGGAGGGAGAGGGUACUCCAGGGGUAGGGGUGAAAUCCUGUAAUCCCUGGAGGACCACCGGUGGCGAAGGCGCUCUCCUAGGACGGGUCCGACGGUGAGGGACGAAAGCCAGGGGAGCGAACCGGAUUAGAUA
rnacentral:rRNA from 1 species